rnacentral:lncRNA from 1 species
GUCAUGCGCGUAAAGAAGUUUAGAAAUCAUAAGCGGAACCCUAUCUUGUUUUGCAUGCGCCUAUUUAUAGACAGAACUGCCUUCGCCGUGCCACGGUCCGCGCAAAUAUGCAUGGCUUGUGCCAUGGGCCGUGCAACGGCCCGUGCAUAUAUGCACGGCCCGUGCAACGGGCACCAAGCUCCAUGAAAUGCAAAAUUUCUGAAAUUGUCCAGAGGAGGUCGUGCAAAAGCCUCAAAACUGCGCGCCAACAAGGAAUCGACUC